CAAGGGCGGCGCGCCAGGGAGGGGGCAACGGCGGCAGCUUAUAGAGGGGGCACACGUCGCAGGAGUGCAUAUCCUGCGGAUAUUUACAAAAAAAACUUUAAAACGAAUGUGUCUAACAUCUUUACCAGGAUUUGGGUCUGCUUUCGCUGCUGCUGCUUGAAUUCAUGAAUCAUUAUGCCCUGUCUUAAGUUCCUUUUUGCUGAAAAAUGUUUAACUAUCUAUUGGACGAGUUUCUCUUAUCUUUUGUAAAGUCAUUUGUUGAAGCCAAGCAACAAUUAUAAAACGGGAUAUAACGAAAAUUAAAACUAAUAUAUAUUUAAAGGCUGCCUUUUAAGCAUUUUACUAAUUAUUCCAGUCUUAAUUUAUUUCGGUCUUGAUUUCUUGUAUUUAA